rnacentral:rRNA from 1 species
GAUGAACGCUGGCGGCGUGCCUAAUACAUGCAAGUCGAGCGAACAGACGAGGAGCUUGCUCCUCUGACGUUAGCGGCGGACGGGAGAGUAACACGUGGAUAACCUACCUAUAAGACUGGGAUAACUUCGGGAAACCGGAGCUAAUACCGGAUAAUAUAUUGAACCGCAUGGUUCAAUAGUGAAAGACGGUUUUGCUGUCACUUAUAGAUGGAUCCGCGCCGCAUUAGCUAGUUGGUAAGGUAACGGCUUACCAAGGCAACGAUGCGUAGCCGACCUGAGAGGGUGGUCGGCCACACUGGAACUGAGACACGGUCCAGACUCCUACGGGAGGCAGCAGUAGGGAAUCUUCCGCGAUGGGCGAAAGCCUGACGGAGCAACGCCGCGUGAGUGAUGAAGGUCUUCGGAUCGUAAAACUCUGUUAUUAGGGAGGAACAAAUGUGUAAGUAACUAUGCACGUCUUGACGGUACCUAGUCAGAAAGCCACGGCUAACUACGUG